rnacentral:rRNA from 1 species
CCUACGGGUGGCAGCAGUGAGGAAUAUUGGUCAAUGGGCGCGAGCCUGAACCAGCCAAGUAGCGUGAAGGAUGACUGCCCUACGGGUUGUAAACUUCUUUUAUAAAGGAAUAAAGUGAGGCACGUGUGCCUUUUUGUAUGUACUUUAUGAAUAAGGAUCGGCUAACUCCGUGCCAGCAGCCGCGGUAAUACGGAGGAUCCGAGCGUUAUCCGGAUUUAUUGGGUUUAAAGGGUGCGUAGAUGGGUUGUUAAGUCAGUUGUGAAAGUUUGCGGCUCAACCGUAAAAUUGCAAUUGAUACUGGCAGUCUUGAGUAUAGUUGAGGUAGGCGGAAUUCGUGGUGUAGCGGUGAAAUGCUUAGAUAUCACGAAGAACUCCGAUUGCGAAGGCAGCCUACUAAGCUGCCACUGACAUUGAUGCUCGAAAGUGUGGGUAUCAAACAGGAUUAGAUACCCUAGUAGUC